rnacentral:rRNA from 1 species
GAUGAACGCUGGCGGCGUGCCUAAUACAUGCAAGUCGAGCGAACAGACGAGGAGCUUGCUCCUCUGACGUUAGCGGCGGACGGGUGAGUAACACGUGGAUAACCUACCUAUAAGACUGGGAUAACUUCGGGAAACCGGAGCUAAUACCGGAUAAUUUAUUGAACCGCAUGGUUCAAUAGUGAAAGACGGUUUUCCGUUCCCUAUUGAUUGAACCCGCGCCGCAUUAGCUAGUUGGUAAGGUAACGGCUUACCAAGGCAACGAUGCGUAGCCGACCUGAGAGGGUGAUCGGCCACACUGGAACUGAGACACGGUCCAGACUCCUACGGGAGGCAGCAGUAGGGAAUCUUCCGCAAUGGGCGAAAGCCUGACGGAGCAACGCCACGUGAGUGAUGAAGGUCUUCGGAUCGUAAAACUCUGUUAUUAGGGAAGAACAAAUGUGUAAGUAACUAUGCACGUCUUGACGGUACCUAAUCAGAAAGCCACGGCUAACUACGUG